rnacentral:tRNA from 1 species
AGAAUAGUAAGCUAAAUAAGCUAAUGGGUUCAUACCCCAUUUAUAGAGUCCACCCCUCUCUUUUCUA